GUCGAGGAUCUUCGGCAAUGGGCGCAAGCCUGACCGAGCGACGCCGCGUGUGCGAUGAAGGCCUUCGGGUUGUAAAGCACUGUCGAGGGGAAGAAAGCCGCAAGGUUGAUCGACCCCUGGAGGAAGCACGGGCUAAGUUCGUGCCAGCAGCCGCGGUAAGACGAACCGUGCAAACGUUGUUCGGAUUCACUGGGCUUAAAGGGCGCGUAGGCGGGUGGCCAAGUCCGGGGUGAAAUCCUUCGGCUCAACCGGAGAACAGCUUCGGAUACUGGUCAUCUCGAGGAGGGUAGGGGCAGAUGGAACUUCCGGUGGAGCGGUGAAAUGCGUAGAUAUCGGAAGGAACGCCGGUGGCGAAAGCGAUCUGCUGGACCCUUACUGACGCUGAGGCGCGAAAGCCAGGGGAGCAAACGGGAUUAGAAACCCUGGUAGUCC
rnacentral:rRNA from 1 species